CAGUCGCCGCGGUAAUACGGAGGGGGCUAGCGUUGUUCGGAAUUACUGGGCGUAAAGCGUACGUAGGCGGCUUUGUAAGUUAGAGGUGAAAGCCUGGUGCUCAACACCAGAACUGCCUUUAAGACUGCAUCGCUUGAACGUCGGAGAGGUGAGUGGAAUUCCGAGUGUAGAGGUGAAAUUCGUAGAUAUUCGGAAGAACACCAGUGGCGAAGGCGGCUCACUGGACGACUGUUGACGCUGAGGUACGAAAGCGUGGGGAGCAAACAGGAUUAGAUACCCCAGUAGUCCCUGUCUCUUAUAA
rnacentral:rRNA from 1 species